CACUUCACACGAUACUUUGCCCCCCACCAAAAUAAACUUUAGCCAUAAUACCCAUUCCCUUCCACUCACCAUUUCUCCUACAUACCAAGGAACUAAGUGCAGAGCUACACCCACAGAAGUUCAGCUAUACCACACGGACAUCCCUAUCACUUCACUCAUUCUGAAAAUUUUCAUUUGCUCACCAAGAUCAUUUCGACAGAAUCCAGCACACAACAAACAAACAGGAUCAACACUCACUGAAAUUUCUCACAAGGCUUUGAGCAUCAGGAGGAUUAGCACUGCUAUUCCGAUUCAGAGAUAACGUUAAACGACAGGCAUUGCCUAUACAGGUGGGCUUAUUUUUCAAAUGUAUGAUUUAGCUAUUGAGCUUAAAUAUUCGUGAAAUAUAAACUGUUUAUCCAAUAAAAUAUUUUUGUGCACUCUACCAUGUUUAAUGCUCGUACAGUUAAUCAAUUGAGGUUCUCUUAUGACCUAACACGUUGUUUGAGAAUUGUGUACACUUGUUAGCUGACUCGGUGGGUUGAUCUCCAUCGGGCACUAACCAGAGGCGUUAUAAGGGUGCUCGACGGGAUGUGUUCCGGAGCAUAGAAAUGAUAGGCCUGUCUGGAUUAAUUUCCGA